rnacentral:rRNA from 1 species
GACGAACGCUGGCGGCGUGCUUAACACAUGCAAGUCGAACGGAAAGGCCCUGAUUUUGUGGUGUUCUCGAGUGGCGAACGGGUGCGUAAGACGUGUGUAACCUGCCCUUGACUUUGGGAUAACUUCAGGAAACUGGGGCUAAUACCGGAUAGCAGCCGCUGUUGCAUGGUGGGGGUUGGAACGUCUCGGCGGGUGGGGAUGGACUCGCGGGUUAUCAGCUAGCUGGUGGGGUAGUGGCUUACCAAGGCUUUGACGGGUAGCCGGCCUGAGAGGGUGAACGGCGACAUUGGGACUGAGAGACGGACCAGACGCGUACGGUAGGCAACGGUGGGAAAUAUGGCACAGUGGGCGCACGUGUGAUGAAGAGACGCCGGGUGCGGGAUGACGGCCUUCGGGUUGUAAACCGCAUUAGCCUGUGACGAAGCGGGUGUGACGGUACUGGGUAAAGAAGCACCGGCUAACUACGUG